GCGGGGCAACCCGCCCGGUGUAAUGCAGCCUUGGACGGUUCCAAGCCCGUGUAAAUGCAGAGGACACC
rnacentral:ribozyme from 1 species